GUGCUCGCUUCGGCAGCACAUAUACUAAAAUGGGAAAGAUACAGAGAUUAGCAUGGCCCCUGCGCAAGGAUGACACGCAAAUUCGUGAAGCGUUCCAUAAAAAA
ensembl:snRNA U6 U6 spliceosomal RNA